rnacentral:rRNA from 1 species
GACGAACGCUGGCGGCGUGCUUAACACAUGCAAGUCGAACGGAAAGGCCCAGCUUGCUGGGUGCUCGAGUGGCGAACGGGUGAGUAACACGUGGGUGAUCUGCCUCUAACUUCGGGAUAAGCUUGGGAAACUGGGUCUAAUACCGGGUAGGACAAUCGUUUAGUGUCGGUUGUGGAAAGUUUUUUCGGUUAGGGAUGAGCCCGCGGCCUAUCAGCUUGUUGGUGGGGUAAUGGCCUACCAAGGCGUCGACGGGUAGCCGGCCUGAGAGGGUGGACGGCCACAUUGGGACUGAGAUACGGCCCAGACUCCUACGGGAGGCAGCAGUGGGGAAUAUUGCACAAUGGGCGCAAGCCUGAUGCAGCGACGCCGCGUGGGGGAUGACGGCCUUCGGGUUGUAAACCUCUUUCGACAGGGACGAAGCUUUGGUGACGGUACCUGUAUAAGAAGCACCGGCUAACUACGUG